rnacentral:rRNA from 1 species
GAUGAACGCUGGCGGCGUGCCUAAUACAUGCAAGUCGAGCGAACAGACGAGGAUCUUGCUCCUCUGACGUUAGCGACGGACGGGUGAGUAACACGUGGAUAAGCUACCUAUAAGACUGGGAUAACUUCGGGAAACCGGAGCUAAUACCGGAUAAUAUAUUGAACCGCAUGGUUCAAUAGUGAAAGACGGUUUUGCUGUCACUUAUAGAUGGAUCCGCGCCGCAUUAGCUAGUUGGUAAGGUAACGGCUUACAAAGGCAACGAGCCGUAGCCGACCCGAGAGAGUGAUAGGCGACACUGGGAGUGAAAGACGGUCCAGACUGCUACGGGAGCCAGCAGCAGGGUACUUCGGGAAACAGGAGAAAGCAUGACGCCGCAACGCCGCAUGGGCUAUGAGGGUAUUGGGAUCGUGAGACUCUGUGAUUAGGGAACAAGAACUGUGUAACUAACAAAACACGUAUUGACGGUACCUAGGCAGAAAGCAACGGCUAACUCCGUG